ensembl:snoRNA SNORA73 Small nucleolar RNA SNORA73 family
ACAGCGUCCUGUAUAUUCCUACAUCUUCCCAGAGCCCUUUGGGCCAUUACUGGGGAGGUAAACCAUGCAGUGCACAUGC